rnacentral:rRNA from 1 species
UACAUAGGGAGCGAGCGUUAAUCGGAAUUACUGGGCGAAAAGCGCACGUAGUCGGCUUGUCAAGUCGGGUGUGAAAUCACCGGGCUCAACCUGGGAACUGCAUCCGAAACUGACUUGCUAGAGUAUGGGAGAGGGAAGCGGAAUUUCUGGUGUAGCAGUGAAAUGCGUAGAUAUCAGAAGGAACAUCAGUUGCGAGGACGGCUUCCUGGACCAAUACUGACGAUCAGGUGCGAAAGCGUGGGGAGCAAUAAGG